AGCAGGGUGGAGCAGUCUGGAGUGCUCGUCGGGCCCAUAACCCGGAGGUCGCAUGGUUCAAAUCCUGCCCCUGCUA
rnacentral:tRNA from 1 species